UUUUUUUUUGGUACUGUCACAAGAUAGGUGUCAGAGUCGGAUCAUUUUCUCUGAAGAUGCAGAGUUCACUUCUCACACGAGUUAAGUUCAGAGAGUUCAAAGCUCUGCUUAGUUUCAGGAAAAACAUUUUAGCCAACGUAUAUGCAAACAUCAAAUGAAUCCCUGAAUGGAGACAAUCAAAAGUACCGCACCACAUUCUAAACUACUCCCUCCGUCCCAUAAUGUAAGACGUUUUUUUGACACCACACUAGAGUGAAAAGACGUCUUACAUUAUAGGACGGAGGGAGUAAAUGGCGUGAAUCCCUUAGUUUCGCAAUGUAUAUUCCCACGAACCUCAGUAAUGAAAGUUUUGGGAUGGGUGGGUACAGAAUAAUUUAACACAAUCAUUUUUUACUAUGCACGCCCAAGCAGUGUUUUUUAAGUUGCCUGGACAUCAAAGCUACCUCCCUCCGUUUUCAAAAUAGAUGACCCAACUCUAACUUUAGUAUAAUUUGGGCUAUUUUUGAACGGAGGGAGUAGUUCAGACGCUAGUUCAAAUUAUGAAGAACAAAUUUCAAACUACACGUAAAUUGCAAACUUCUACAACUGUGGUUCAGAUUUUGAAAUUAUGCUGCAACUGUGUGGUUCAGAUUUUGAAUAACAGUUAGAUUAUCUCAUACACCAAAUUCAGAAGGUUUGAAUAACAGUUAGAUUAUCUCACACACCAUAUUUUUAGGAGGAAAUUCAGAAGGACAGAGACAUCAAAGAUUAUUCAAAUAAUUGAAUAACUGUCGUAGAUAACAUUCAGAAGAGAUGUAUUUUUAUCACACAAAUCCUAAUAAUAGUUGUCAACAAGUCGGAUAAUAUGCCUGACUUGCGACGAAACAACAAGCAAACAGCUUCUUAACCAACCAACACGGCGAAAUGUCAGACAAUCCUUCCAAUCGCACUCCCAAAUCCAAACCCAAAGUAACAAACAGGCGGGCAGCUCAUUUGCACAAGUCGGUCGCAGGUGGGCGCAGGGCGACUCCUCCGAGCUUCUCGCUCGAGUACUUCUUGUAGACGACCUUCAGCUUGCUGUCAGGCGCGGUGGAGUGCGAGGCCACC
rnacentral:lncRNA from 1 species